AUUGAACGCUGGCGGCAGGCCUAACACAUGCCAGUCGAGCGGAUGAAGGGAGCUUGCUCCUGGAUUCAGCGGCGGACGGGUGAGUAAUGCCUAGGAAUCUGCCUGGUAGUGGGGGAUAACGUCCGGAAACGGGCGCUAAUACCGCAUACGUCCUGAGGGAGAAAGUGGGGGAUCUUCGGACCUCACGCUAUCAGAUGAGCCUAGGUCGGAUUAGCUAGUUGGUGGGGUAAAGGCCUACCAAGGCGACGAUCCGUAACUGGUCUGAGAGGAUGAUCAGUCACACUGGAACUGAGACACGGUCCCGACUCCUAAGGGAGGCAGCAGUGGGGAAUAUUGGACCAUGGGCGAAAGCCUGAUCCAGCCAUGCCGCGUGUGUGAAGAAGGUCUUCGGAUUGUAAAGCACUUUAAGUUGGGAGGAAGGGCAGUAAGUUAAUACCUUGCUGUUUUGACGUUACCAACAGAAUAAGCACCGGCUAACUUCGUG
rnacentral:rRNA from 1 species